AGUGAACGCUGGCGACAGGCCUAACACAUGCAAGUCGAGCGGCAGCGCGGGGGCAACCUUGGCGGCGAGCGGCGGACGGGUGAGGAAUUCGUCGGAGUCUGCCUCUUUGUGGUGGAUAACGUCGGGAGACUUACGCUAAUACCGCAUACGUCCUACGGGAGCAAGUGGGGGACCGCAAGGCAUCACGCGGAAAGAUGAGCCGACGACCGACUAGCUAGUUGGUGGGGUAAGGGCCCACCAAGGCGACGAUCGGUAGCUGGUCUGAGAGGAGGAUAAGCCACACGGGGAGUGAGACAGGCCCCAGAGGCCUACGGGAGGCAGCAGACGGGAAUGUGGGGCAAUGGGCGCAAGUCUGAUCCAGCCAUGCGGCGUGUGUGAAGAAGGCGUUCGGGGUGUAAAGCACUUUUGUCCGGAGAGAAACGCCUGGAGCUAAUACCUUCGGGGGAUGACGGUACCGGAAGAAUAAGCACCGGCUAACUUCGUG
rnacentral:rRNA from 1 species